CCGACCCGCUGUGAAUACCUUCCUUUCUUCAAGUAACGGCCGAUCCUACCAACUGGGAACUGGAGACCGGCUUUGACAGACCUUGAAACGGGCUUCUUCUUCGGGCCACCACCUUUCCUUCCUCCGGCUCCCUUCUUUACUUUUCCGGUAGUUUCCAUUACUUCGAACCGACCAAAUGCUUCGUUAACUUAAAUCUCUUAGCUUUAAAAUUAGAGGGUAUUGAUUGGUACAGGAGAACUGAAGGGUGGAAGGGACGACUCGGUAUUUUAUAGCAGUGGAUUUGGG
rnacentral:lncRNA from 1 species